AUUGAACGCUGGCGGAAUGUUUUACACAUGCAAGUCGCACGAGGGUUUCGGCCCUAGUGGCGGACGGGUGAGUAACGCGUAGGAAUCUAUCCAUGGGUGGGGGGUAACACUGGGAAACUGGUGCUAAUACCGCAUGAUACCUGAGGGUCAAAGGCGCAAGUCGCCUGUGGAGGAGCCUGCGUUCGAUUAGCUAGUUGGUGGGGUAAAGGCCUACCAAGGCGAUGAUCGAUAGCUGGUUUGAGAGGAUGAUCAGCCACACUGGGACUGAGACACGGCCCAGACUCCUACGGGAGGCAGCAGUGGGGAAUAUUGGACAAUGGGGGCAACCCUGAUCCAGCAAUGCCGCGUGUGUGAAGAAGGUCUUCGGAUUGUAAAGCACUUUCGACGGGGACGAUGAUGACGGUACCCGUAGAAGAAGCCCCGGCUAACUUCGUGCCAGCAGCCGCCGUAA
rnacentral:rRNA from 1 species